rnacentral:rRNA from 1 species
GUCGUGCGAGAAGUAUCUUCGGAUAUGAGUAGAGCGGCGGACGGGUGAGUAACGCGUAGGAAUCUACCUAGUAGAAGGGGAUAGCCCGAGGAAACUCGGAUUAAUACCGUAUACCUCCUUCGGGAGAAAGAAGGCCUCUCUUUGAAGCCUUCGCUAUUAGAUGAGCCUGCGUAAGAUUAGCUUGUUGGUGAGGUAAAGGCUCACCAAGGCGACGAUCUUUAGCGGGUCUGAGAGGAUGAUCAGCCACAUUGGGACUGAGACACGGCCCAAACUCCUACGGGAGGCAGCAGUGGGGAAUCUUGCACAAUGGAGGAAACUCUGAUGCAGCGAUGCCGCGUGAGUGAAGAAGGCUCUUGGGUUGUAAAGCUCUUUCGUCGGGGAAGAAAAUGACUGUACCCGAAUAAGAAGGUCCGGCUAACUUCGUGCCAGCAGCCGCGGUAAUACGAAGGGACCUAGCGUAGUUCGGAAUUACUGGGCUUAAAGAGUUCGUAGGUGGUUGAAAAAGUUAGUGGUGAAAUCCCAGAGCUUAACUCUGGAACUGCCAUUAAAACUUUUCAGCUAGAGUAUGAUAGAGGAAAGCAGAAUUUCUAGUGUAGAGGUGAAAUUCGUAGAUAUUAGAAAGAAUACCAAUUGCGAAGGCAGCUUUCUGGAUCAUUACUGACACUGAGGAACGAAAGCAUGGGUAGCGAAGAGGAUUAGAUACCCUCGUAGUCCAUGCCGUAAACGAUGUGUGUUAGACGUUGGAAAUUUAUUUUCAGUGUCGCAGGGAAACCGAUAAACACACCGCCUGGGGGAGUACGACCGCAAGGUUAAAACUCAAAUGAAUUGACGGGGACCCGCACAAGUAGUGGAGCAUGUGGUUUAAUUCGAAGAUACGCGCAGAACCUUACCAACACUUGACAUGUUCGUCGCGACUCUAAGAGAUUAGAGUUUUCGGUUCGGCCGGACGAAACACAGGUGCUGCAUGGCUGUCGUCAGCUCGUGUCGUGAGAUGUUGGGGUUAAGUCCCGCAACGAGCGCAACCCUCACUUUUAGUUGC